UCCGAUAGCACGAGCGACAGUCCAUGGGCCACAACAGCCGAAACAGCAUGUUGGAACACAGGUACCGCUACAAUGUUCACCCGAUGCCCCAAAGGAGGCACAAAGGCGAAAUAUGGGACAGCAACAUCAUUGAAUUCCACUAGUGUGGGUAUGCAACACAGGAACCCGACAUUUGCCCACUUACAAAACAUUCACUUGGGCUAGGACUGAAAGGAUCGCGGGGAAGCAAUUCGAUGCGCGAGCACGGAGCCUGCCUACCCAAACGAUCGUGAUA
rnacentral:lncRNA from 1 species